rnacentral:lncRNA from 1 species
AAGCAUUCUCUAUCGCAAGGUAUCUCGCCUGUAGCCAACAAAAAUCGUAUGAGCACAAAUGAACACAAAUGACUUUGGCUGCCUCAAUUGACCGAGGCCAAAGCCACAUCAACGCCUCUCGGGCUAAAUUUAAUCUCAAAAGGUACCGCGUAUCUCAUAUUUGAAUUCUGAGAUGACAGCGUAUGAUAACUUGUACACCCAGCUUGUGUUACCAUUUGCCCGCACGGGCAUUCCGACUUGCCACCAGCAGGCCGACAAAUUUGCUUACAUUUCUCUAUGAAAUACGCAAGCUGCUCAUUUGUACAUUUACUUUAGCCAAUGGUCGGGGCCUCCGGAGAUUUGCGGUGUGCCGCAAUGAAGCUCGCGGCUGNNNNNNNNNNNNNNNNNNNNNNNNNNNNNNNNNNNNNNNNNNNNNNNNNNCUGCUGCUGAUACCGGGGCGAAGCCACUGAUUGAUCAGGCUGCUGGGGUCUACUCGCGUAAGGGUUAUACAGGCAUUAUUCACAAGUUGUUUUCUGACGUUAGCAAAAUUAAUUUGAAUCCAUACGGAGAGGAUGAUAACGAGGAGGUUGCGACGGACCCAGAGAUUGAAGUACUGGUACAAGCAACAUAUCCCGCUAGUGACGAUGAGGCUUUUAGUGACAGUGACUACGAGACCGACCUAGAACGAGAUACCGAUGAGUCGUCCGUGGAUGAGGAUUUUGUUGAUGAGGAGGAGGACGCGAAAGAGGAGCAGAAGGGAUGGGCGGCCGUGGCGGCCAAGGCGCUUGGCUUUCGCUGAGUGUGCCGUGCCCCCGUGUGUAAUCGUUCACGGGAAAAUAACAUAAAUAACGUUUUACAGGGCAAAAAAAUGCAAAGUGUCACUUUCCACAGCGUUUUAGCUAAGGACAGUGUCCCCGUAAAGGUUUUGCGGGGUUACGGGGGCCCCCGUAAGGUUUUCGGCCAGUACAGGAGCCUGGUACGGGGGCCCCUCCGUAAGGAAAAUUUGGGAGGUACGGGGGAUCCCGCAAGUUUCAGGAAAGUCAGUGUCGAACCCUGGAGUGCACAUAUUGAGGCAAUGACAAAGUGCAGCAUUCGUGGGGUAUUGCAAGCGCUCGCGUCGCAAGGGAUGGACCAGAAUGCCAGAGGGUGCUGUGCCAGGAAUGUUAACAUCGGCCAUAAUCUUCAAAUCUCCAUGGAGAGUGCGUCCUGGAAACGACGGCUCAGCCAGAAUAGGUAUAGGCUGACGUAAGGAAGGCUACAGACACGUUUCGCGCGUUGCAGGAUUCAGCACAUUUUUGGGCGGGGCCCCAGGGCGAAGCGCCCAGGGAGGCCCCGACCUGUAGGAUUGCCCAUGUCCGUGCGUGCAUGUGGCCGUGUGGCCGUGUGUGUGUAACAGACCAAACAUAAUAUCUCGCCCGGCUGAAACGCGUUAUUGGUACUAUAAAGCAUUCUCUAUCGCAAGGUAUCUCGCCUGUAGCCAACAAAAAUCGUAUGAGCACAAAUGAACACAAAUGACUUUGGCUGCCUCAAUUGACCGAGGCCAAAGCCACAUCAACGCCUCUCGGGCUAAAUUUAAUCUCAAAAGGUACCGCGUAUCUCAUAUUUGAAUUCUGAGAUGACAGCGUAUGAUAACUUGUACACCCAGCUUGUGUUACCAUUUGCCCGCACGGGCAUUCCGACUUGCCACCAGCAGGCCGACAAAUUUGCUUACAUUUCUCUAUGAAAUACGCAAGCUGCUCAUUUGUACAUUUACUUUAGCCAAUGGUCGGGGCCUCCGGAGAUUUGCGGUGUGCCGCAAUGAAGCUCGCGGCUGAGGGGCGGAUUCGGGGCGGAUUCGGGGAUAAACAUCACAGACAGCACCGAAAUUCACCCAGCUUUCGUUAC